GCAAACUUGGUCAUUUAGAGGAAGUAAAAGUCGUAACAAGGUCUCCGUUGGUGAACCAGCGGAGGGAUCAUUAUAGAGUUUAUUCUCUCCAACCCAUGUGAACGUACUGCGUUGCCUCGGCGGAUUUCGGCCCUCGUGGCGAGCCGCCGACGGAAAGCAAACUCUUGUUUAAUUUGUAUUCUGAAAUAACUAGCAAAUAGUUAAAACUUUCAACAACGGAUCUCUUGGUUCUGGCAUCGAUGAAGAACGCAGC
rnacentral:misc_RNA from 1 species